rnacentral:lncRNA from 1 species
AAAUUUCCAAUGACAGGAGCCAUGGAAGAGGCUGCAUUUUCACCUCCCAGUCAGAAAGUUAGAAGUAUUGUAAUGGAAGAAUCAAGCAUGGAGAGGAAAACAGGCUCUGAUGUCUUUUCACCUGGUCCCGAGGAUGUCUUUUCACCUGGGCCCGAGGAUAUAGAAAGGAGAUCAUCUAUGACAAAAGCCACGUAUGAGGCUUCAGAACUAUCCCCUCGGGGAGAUAGAUGUAUUCAAAUGGAAGAAUCAAGCAUUAACAAG